GAAUGUUACAGCUCUUUUAGAAUUUGUCUAGCAGUUUUUCUGUUUUUUACUGGGAAGCCCCA
rnacentral:snRNA from 1 species